UUUUAGAUAGCACUUUUAAUCUUGAAAAUUAACAGAAUCAUUAUCUUAAUACUCUU
rnacentral:tRNA from 1 species